rnacentral:lncRNA from 1 species
CUAACUCCUGGGGACCUGAACAGCUCUAACAGAGUGGACCACGGGGCAGGAGACAGGUACUUAAAGCAGUGACACCCCGGUAGCAAUGAGCACACCCAGUGCCUCCAUCUUGGUCCCUAAGCACCGAGGUGCUGGAGCUUGGCUGAGGCCAGCUAUGGAGCAGGAAAAGCACAAGAUGAGCCUGGAACGUCUUUUGUGUCAGAACACAAGGAGGAUGAAAGACGAAUGGAAGUCAUCUCAAAAGAACACAGGAGCCAAGCUGAAGGGGCUUCCUCUGAACAAACGUGGCCCAAUUUGAGGCACUCCUGUGAAUUAUGGGUCCUUAGAGAUGUCCCCCCAAAAUAAAUACAGAGAGAGCGAGGAGAGGAGGGAAAGCUCUCUCUCUCCGUUUUUAAACCCAAGAAGGUGUACUUGCAUAUGUAAAAG